UACGAAGGGGGCUAGCGUUGCUCGGAAUCACUGGGCGUAAAGGGUGCGUAGGCGGGUUUUUAAGUCAGGGGUGAAAUCCUGGAGCUCAACUCCAGAACUGCCUUUGAUACUGAAAAUCUUGAGUCCGGGAGAGGUGAGUGGAACUGCGAGUGUAGAGGUGAAAUUCGUAGAUAUUCGCAAGAACACCAGUGGCGAAGGCGGCUCACUGGCCCGGUACUGACGCUGAGGCACGGAAAGCGUGGGGGAGCAAACAGG
rnacentral:rRNA from 1 species